CAUCCAACGGCCAUGGGAGGUUCUUCAAAUUUUAAUUUAAUUGUUCGAAAAUCCCAUAACCCUAAACGUCAUUCUUCGUCUUCCUCGUACCCCUUCUGCUGCAUCACCAUCUGCCACCGCCGGAAAUCGCCCACGGCGGCGGCGAAGCUCGAAACCACUCCAAAAUUUCACCAUAGGUCCCCUUUCUCCUCCUCUUCCCAUUUCUGGUGAUGGU
rnacentral:lncRNA from 1 species